rnacentral:rRNA from 1 species
UAGGGAAUAUUGCAAAAUGGGCGAAAGCCCGAUGCAGCAACGCCGCGUGGGCGAUGAAGGCCUUCGGGUCGUAAAGCCCUUUUUGAGGGGAUGAGGAAGGACAGUACCCUCAGAAUAAGCCUCGGCUAACUACGUGCCAGCAGCCGCGGUAAAACGUAGGAAGCGAGCGUUAUCCGGAUUUACUGGGCGUAAAGCGCGUGCAGGCGGAUUGGAGAGUUGGAUGUGAAAGCUCCCGGCUUAACUGGGAGAGGUCGUUCAAUACUUCCAGUCUUGAGUGCAGUAGAGGGAAGUGGAAUUCCGGGUGUAGUGGUGAAAUGCGUAGAUAUCCGGAGGAACACCAGUGGCGAAAGCGGCUUCCUGGACUGUAACUGACGCUCAGACGCGAAAGCUAGGGUAGCAAAC